CCUACGGGAGGCAGCAGUGGGGAAUUUUCCGCAAUGGGCGAAAGCCUGACGGAGCAAUACCGCGUGAGGGAAGACUGCCUAUGGGUUGUAAACCUCUUUUUUCAGGGAGGAAUCAAUGACGUGUACCUGAAGAAUAAGCAUCGGCUAACUCCGUGCCAGCAGCCGCGGUAAU
rnacentral:rRNA from 2 species